rnacentral:rRNA from 1 species
ACAGGAUUAGAUACCCUGGUAGUCCACGCCGUAAACGAUGAUCACUGGUUGUUUGCAGGCAUAUGUAAGUGACUAAGCGAAAGUGUUAAGUGAUCCACCUGGGGAGUACGUCGGCAACGAUGAAACUCAAAGGAAUUGACGGGGGCCCGCACAAGCGGAGGAACAUGUGGUUUAAUUCGAUGAUACGCGAGGAACCUUACCCGGGCUUAAAUGUAUGUUGCAUAGAUCAGAGAUGGUCUUUUCUUUCACGAGACUACAUACAAGGUGCUGCAUGGUUGUCGUCAGCUCGUGCCGUGAGGUGUCGGGUUAAGUCCCAUAACGAGCGCAACCCUUGUCGUUAGUUGCCAUCGGGUCAAGCCGGGCACUCUAGCGAGACUGCCGCCGCAAGGCGUGAGGAAGGCGAGGAUGACGUCAAAUCAGCACGGCCCUUACGUCCGGGGCUACACACGUGUUACAAUGGUAGGUACAGAGGGCAGCUACACCGCGAGGUGAUGCAAAUCUCGAAAGCCUAUCUCAGUUCGGAUUGGAGUCUGCAACCCGACUCCAUGAAGCUGGAUUCGCUAGUAAUCGCAUAUCAGCCAUGAUGCGGUGAAUACGUUCCCGGGCCUUGUACACACCGCCCGUCAAGCCAUGGAAGCUGGGGGUACCUGAAGACUGUAACCGCAAGGAGCGGUCUAGGGUAAAACUAGUAACUGGGGCUAAGUCGUAACAAGGUACCAUCUU